rnacentral:rRNA from 2 species
AAAUUGAAGAGUUUGAUCAUGGCUCAGAUUGAACGCUGGCGGUAGGCCUAACACAUGCAAGUCGAACGGUAACAGGAAGCAGCUUGCUGCUUUGCUGACGAGUGGCGGACGGGUGAGUAAUGUCUGGGAAACUGCCUGAUGGAGGGGGAUAACUACUGGAAACGGUGGCUAAUACCGCAUAACGUCGCAAGACCAAAGAGGGGGACCUUCGGGCCUCUUGCCAUCAGAUGUGCCCAGAUGGGAUUAGCU